UACGUAGGGGGCAAGCGUUGUCCGGAUUUAUUGGGCGUAAAGAGCGUGUAGGCGGCUGGGUAGGUCCGUUGUGAAAACUCGAGGCUCAACCUCGAGACGCCGAUGGAAACCCUCCAGCUAGAGUCCGGAAGAGGAGAGUGGAAUUCCUGGUGUAGCGGUGAAAUGCGCAGAUAUCAGGAAGAACACCCGUGGCUAAGGCGGCUUUCUAGUACGGUACUGAUGCUGAGACGCGAAAGCGUGGGGAGCGAACAGG
rnacentral:rRNA from 1 species